rnacentral:rRNA from 1 species
AGUGAACGCUGGCGGUAGGCCUAACACAUGCAAGUCGAACGGCAGCACAGUAAGAGCUUGCUCUUACGGGUGGCGAGUGGCGGACGGGUGAGGAAUACAUCGGAAUCUACUUUUUCGUGGGGGAUAACGUAGGGAAACUUACGCUAAUACCGCAUACGACCUACGGGUGAAAGCAGGGGAUCUUCGGACCUUGCGCGAUUGAAUGAGCCGAUGUCGGAUUAGCUAGUUGGCGGGGUAAAGGCCCACCAAGGCGACGACCCGUAGCUGGUCUGAGAGGAUGAUCAGCCGCACUGGAAGGGAGACACGGUCCAGAGUCCUACGGGAGGAAGCAGUGGGGAAUAUUGGACAAUGGGCGCAAGCCUGAUCCAGCCAUACCGAGUGGGUGAAGAAGGCCUUCGGGUUGUAAAGCCCUUUUGUUGGGAAAGAAAAGCAGCAGGUUAAUACCCCGCUGUUCUGACGGUACCCAAAGAAUAAGCACCGGCUAACUUCGUG